AGUCGAGUUGUUUGGGAAUGCAACUCAAAAUGGGUGGUAAAUGCCAUCUAAGGCUAAAUAUUGGGGAGAGACCGAUAGCGAACAAGUACAGUGAUGGAAAGAUGAAAAGAACUUUGAAAAGAGAGUGAAAAAGUACGUGAAAUUGUUGAAAGGGAAGGGUUUGAGAUCAGACUCGAUAUUUUGUGAGCCUUGCCUUCUUGGCGGGGUGACCCGCAGCUUAUCGGGCCAGCAUCGGUUUGGGCGGUAGGAUAAUGGCGUAGGAAUGUGACUUUACUUCGGUGAAGUGUUAUAGCCUGCGUUGAUGCUGCCUGCCUAAACCGAGGACAGCAGCGUACUCGCAAGAGCGGGCCUUCGGGCACCUUUACGCUUAGGGCGUUGGCAUAAUGGCCCUCUACCACCCGUCUUGAAACACGGACCAC
rnacentral:rRNA from 1 species